rnacentral:tRNA from 1 species
UCCUUGAUAGCUCAGUUGGUAAAGAAUCCGCCUGCAAUGCAGGAGACCCGGGUUUGAUUCCUGGGUAGGGAA